rnacentral:rRNA from 1 species
CAUAUCAAUAAGCGGAGGAAAAGAAACCAACAGGGAUUGCCUUAGUAACGGCGAGUGAAGCGGCAACAGCUCAAAUUUGAAAUCUGGCCCUUGGGUCCGAAUUGUAAUUUGUAGAGGAUGAUUUUGGUGCGGUAUCUUCCGAGUUCCUUGGAACAGGACGCCUUAGAGGGUGAGAGCCCCGUACGGUUGAAUGCCUAGCCUCUGUAAAUCUCCUUCGACGAGUCGAGUAGUUUGGGAAUGCUGCUCUAAAUGGGAGGUAAAUUUCUUCUAAAGCUAAAUAUUGGCCAGAGACCGAUAGCGCACAAGUAGAGUGAUCGAAAGAUGAAAAGCACUUUGAAAAGAGGGUUAAAUAGCACGUGAAAUUGUUGAAAGGGAAGGAUUUGUGACCAGACUUUUUCUGGGCGGAUCAUCCGGGGUUCUCUCCGGUGCACUUCGCCCAGUAAAGGCCAGCAUCGGUUUUCGGCGUGGGAUAAAAGCAGUAGGAAUGUGGCUCUCUACGGGGAGUGUUAUAGCCUAUUGUAUAAUACCGCG